rnacentral:rRNA from 1 species
GAUGAACGCUGGCGGCGUGCCUAAUACAUGCAAGUCGAGCGAACAGACGAGGAGCUUGCUCCUCUGACGUUAGCGGCGGACGGGUGAGUAACACGUGGAUAACCUACCUAUAAGACUGGGAUAACUUCGGGAAACCGGAGCUAAUACCGGAUAAUAUAUUGAACCGCAUGGUUCAAUAGUGAAAGACGGUUUUGCUGUCACUUAUAGAUGGAUCCGCGCCGCAUUAGCUAGUUGGUAAGGUAACGGCUUACCAAGGCAACGAUGCGUAGCCGACCUGAGAGGGUGAUCGGCCACACUGGAACUGAGACACGGUCCAGACUCCUACGGGAGGCAGCAGUAGGGAAUCUUCCGCAAUGGGCGAAAGCCUGACGGAGCAACGCCGCGUGAAUGAUGAAGGUCUUCGGAUCGUAAAACUCUGUUAUUAGGGAAGAACAAUUGUGUAAGUAACUAUGCACGUCUUGACGGUACCUAAUCAGAAAGCCACGGCUAACUACGUG